UCUAAAACUCGAGAUAUGGGCUGAACACUGAACAAUAUCUGGGAUGCAGGACAGAUUCGGACUUCUUCAUUGUAGCUACAAUUUGGACUUGAAAAAGGCCUUGUUAAAUCU
rnacentral:pre_miRNA from 1 species